UACGAAGGGGGCUAGCGUUGCUCGGAAUCACUGGGCUUAAAGCGUGUGUAGGCGGAUUGGUAAGUACCUUGUGAAAUCCCACGGCUUAACCGUGGAACUGCUUGGUAUACUGCUUAUCUUGGGCCACUUAGGGGCUACCGGAACAAACGGUGGAGCGGUGAAAUGCGUAGAUAUCGUUUGGAACGCCAAUGGUGAAAACAGGUAGCUGGGAGUGUGCCGACGCUGAGACACGAAAGCCAGGGGAGCGAACGGG
rnacentral:rRNA from 1 species